rnacentral:misc_RNA from 1 species
UUUCCGUAGGUGAACCUGCGGAAGGAUCAUUAUUGAAUGAACUUGGUGUGGUUGUAGCUGGCCCUCUCGUCGGGGGCAUGUGCACACCCGCCAUCUUUAUCUCUCCACCUGUGCACAUCUUGUAGACCUGGAUAGACUUUCCGAGGCAACUCGGUCGGGAGGACUGCUGUGCGUCACUGCCGGCUUUCCUUGCAUAUCUAGGCCUAUGUUUUCAUAUACCCCAUAGUAUGUAACAGAAUGUAUCAUUGGGCCUCGUGCUUAUAAACUAUAUACAACUUUCAGCAACGGAUCUCUUGGCUCUC